CGUCAGGUGCCUCGUGCUAAACUAACAUUGCUGCGUCCCUGCUCGCUGUGGGAGGGACUCCGUUGCCAUGACAGUGACGUCAAUGUUGGUGUCAAGUAACUAAAGGUCAAAAUAAAGACAAGUGAAUGAAAAACGGAAGGAAACUUAUCAAGCUGGCCAGAAAAGCACGGAAUGCGCCAUGUUCACCUAAAAGCUCGAACUAAACACGAGUGUUGGAUGUUCACGCGGUGUUUUUGAGCAGCAGCGGGGUUCCCCCCUCUCCCGUCGGUGAAUAAACUGCUGGAGUAACUUCAGAUCUGCUCUACAUCAGCAGCCAGUAGCUGUGCUGCGCAGAUGGACUUUUCCCAAAGGGGUUUUCUCCCAAUCAUUUUAGUCUGUAUUUUAUCUUCUUUUUCAAUGACAUGCUAUUUUCCUGUCGUUUAUGUUCUGACACCCUCCACAGAUGGUCAAUAGCAGUCUCUGGCAGCUUCUGUAAUUAGUUUGUCAGAUGAUGUUAAAGAAAAGCUAUUUAAAGAGGCCGUUCUGCAUUACCAAACAAGUCACAGUUGCCGUGUAUCUGGAGAUAAGUGCGACAUCUUUCAUAAGAAAGGAAAGCACUUUGCCCAAAAUGCCAGGAGACUGCGUGAAAACACACCUGAUUGUCUCGUCGUCGUGAUAAUCUGGUUUCAUGAAGGAAAAGGGGAACUGUUUGACAGUUUGAAAGAACACUGAUAAACUUAUUGUCUUAUUUUCUUGCUGGAUAGCUUUUCCCUAAAGACUAUGUUGAUCCUAUUAUGUGCAUUCCACAUUCUUGAUGGCCCAUCAGCCAGACGCAGCUGUGAUUUGAAAAGCCCAUUGGCCACCCUUAAGCCUCAUUUACACCGAGUGCGGAACGGAUGAAGAUCAGAAUUCGUGCGGCUUUUGCAAAAACCGAAACUCAUUGAUUCCAAUCUGAGCAGGUGCGGUUCCGAUCCGGAGCUGUGGGAUCUUUCUGAAAGGUUUCUAUCAUGCAGAUUGUCACGGAGUUGAAGAAACUACAAGAGCCAGGCAGGAGGUUAGGUUUGGUGCAGCAACGUGCAUCUGGUAUAUUUCUAAAUAAAACCUGCGAUGCAUCUUUCUGUGAUAGUUGCAAAUUUGGAAAACAACUUGGCUUAAAGUGUUUUUUCAUGCCUCCUAACCUUACUAUAUUGUGGAGGUAAAAAAAAUUGAUGAAGUGGUUUUCUCACAUUUGUCUAAAAACCUCCACCAAUAACACAUUUUGAACCGAAAGCAACUAUUGGACCAUCACUUGUGCAUUUAGCAGCAGAACACCGCUGGUGUGAGAGGUUCUCCGCUCGAUGAUGUCAGAAACAGAGAAACAGCCGGCUGCUACCACUUCAAGUUUAAGAAGUCCUAAAAAGAAAAACACCAUUUGAAGUCACGGAAAACAAAAGACGUUUUGGACCUAGAAAACGGUGACUGGUGUUUAGCGCUAUCUCGUUUCCUCCGGCAUGGCAGGUGUCCGGUUCCGGCAGAAGCGUUUCAGGGAAGAUACCCGAGGGGAGGGCGAGUGUUCUGUGAUUAUGUUUGAGUUCAAAAUCUAGCUUGUUUGCAGAUUUGCCAUAACAGCUUCAAUGACGGGGAUAUCGGUUCUCAGUGUCAGUGGUAGCUGGAGAAGACAAACUUGGCUCUUCACUACACACAUAGUUAUGGCGUGAUCCGCAGUCCGGAAGCCGUAACCAUUCAGCACUCUGUAAAUGAGGCUUUAGAGUGGGAAUGGGUCUGAGCCGCACCAUUUAUUGGAGAGAUGGUCCAUCCCUGCCUAUGUUCUAGAUCUAGUCUCAUUCUGGUUGGGUCGACUAGUCGUAAUCAGUAGCUACGUUUACAUGUGCCAAAUUUCCCCCAUCCCAUUAAAAUCUCGGUUGAUCAGAAAUUCCAAAUCUCUGUUUACACGGACACCAACAGAAGUGAUCCGAUCUCGCCGUGAGUGUCCGUGCACCAAGCGUUCACUCAGAGCACGUGCAGAGUUGUCUUUCCUGGGAAAAAAAUUGUAAACAAACACCAUCUUGUUUGCACGCCUUCUACCUCGUAUUCUAUUUUCUUAUUCUCUAACUUUGUUAACUUACCAUAAUCCACCAUUUUGGACCUUUUUAUUUUUACCGGUAUGCUUUUGUUCUUCCUGAUCGCUUUAACUAAGCUACAGGCUCAGUGGUACGUAACGCUACUGCUCCUUCCCGCAGGAGAGGGGAGCAGGAUUACUUCUGUUUACCUCCCAACAUGUUUGACUUGUCCUGAGCCUCUGCAAAGGCAAUAAAAUGAAGUAGCACAUAUGUGCAGUGGGCAUUGUUUUACUCCCACAGUCUGAAAGGGGGUGUGCAUGGACGUAAAUCGCAAUGACAGUCAGACAAAACCACCCCUCUUAAUCAGAAUGAAAUUUGAUUGAAUUUCAUUCUGAUUGAGUUGUAUUGGAUCAGAAUAUUCCGACUGACAUGUUUACAUGAUUCUGUUUACUUGUAAAUUUAGCUUUUAAUGACUGCUAACUGCAUAGCUGCUGUGAUAUUAGAUUAAAACUGGCCUUGUACCUCGCUGACUUGUAAAACAACAGAAAACAGUCACAAUCAGAGGUGUGCCUACACACCGCAGGUAUCAAUAUGGUAUCAGUUUAACUUUUAAUGAUUGGUUGAAACAUUUUCCUGGGUGGGCGCCACUUGAAUGAUUUUUAAAGUCCGAUUUUCUCAGAUUGAAACUAAAUUCAUACCCCUGAUGAGCGUAAGUAAACGUCAGGCCACAAAUGUACGUACUCUGGUGUGUGUGUGUGUGUGUGUGUGCGUGCGUGCGUGUGUGUGAGAAACCCAGAUUGAGGUCGUGAACCGGUAGUUUGGGGCUGUAAACAUCCCCGACUGGAAGCUGUCUAUCCUCAGAGCUUUCAGUCGGAUGUUUGCCACUGCCAACUGCCUCAGAGCACUAAGUCAUUUGUUUUUACUUUUAUGAUGAUUUGAGAUGAAAGUCAUUCUCAGUUAGCCUCUGGGUGUGUCUUUUUAAGCUGUGGCGUUUUUCUUCAGCUGCCUGUAAUCUUUUGUCCAGACUCAGGUCCUGUAAACAUCCUACACUCAGCUGGAAUCAUGUUAGUGGAGGCUGAGAGAAGGUUGUUUACGUGCUCUGACUGGGACCAACCCUUGGACAACAGGACACAGCAUUUCAUCAACAGAUUGUAGGAUUUAGUUGUUUUUAAUUUGACAUUAUGAUCUUGUAUUUUGUGUUGGUGUGCAAGGAAAAGUAAAUAAACUGUUCACAAUUUGA